CUCUGAGAUUGAGGCCAAAGUCGAAAAUGCAUGUGCUUUUCUCUGUUACUUUGCCAUGACUCCGUCUGAGUGCCUCAUCCCCAAUUUCUGAAUUGUGUUUCUUUUAGCACUGACCAAUACCUGGCCAGUUGCUGCUCCAAGAAAUGGUACCGUUCCUCUCUGAGGCUUCCUCCAAAGAGCUCCCCAACUCCAGGGACAAGAAGAUCAACAGCAGCAACCUAAAAGGAAAAGAAAACCAUAAACAUUGUUACAUAUUCAGAAAGAAAUGGAAAUUUCCUCAUAUAGACUGUGGUGGUGAAUGCACAACUCUGUGAUUAUACCAGGAACCUUUGUGUACUUAGGAUGGAUCAUAUCCUGUGAAUAAAGCUGUUUAAAAAAUAAA